UACCUGCAGCUCGAGUGGUAACCGCUAUUAUUGGGCCUAAAGCGUCCGUAGCCGGUUUGGUAAAUAUCUGGGUAAAUCGUGAGGCUUAACUUCACGAAUUUCGGAUAGACUGCCAGACUUGGGAUCGGGGGAGGUCAGAGGUACUCCAGGGGUAGCGGUGAAAUGUUGUAAUCCUUGGAGGACCACCGGUAGCGAAGGCGUCUGACUAGAACGAGUCCGACGGUGAGGGACGAAGCCCUGGGGCGCAAACCGGAUUAGAUACCCGGGUAGUCCAGGGUGUAAACAAUGCGGGCUUUGUAUUGGAGGUCCCACGUGGGCGUCCAGUGCAGAAGAGAAGUUGUUAAGCCCACCGCCUGGGAAGUACGGUCGCAAGGAUGAAACUUAAAGGAAUUGGCGGGGGAGCACAGCAACGGGAGGAGCGUGCGGUUU
rnacentral:rRNA from 1 species